rnacentral:lncRNA from 1 species
GAUGACGGUAUGUUAAUUUAAUAUUAUUUUAUGUUCAAUAAAAUUUAGAAAUUUAAAAAUAUAUCAAAUAAUGUUAACCCGUCAAAUUGCUUACAAAAUUUAUUUAAUUUUUUGCACGUUUCUAAUUGAAUUUGCUUUCUUUAUCGAGAAAUGUACUUCAUAAUUUAUAUUAUUUAUGGAUAAUAUUUUGAUUUUUUUUAUAUUUUCUUUUAAUAUGUCUACAUAAAUGUUUG